rnacentral:rRNA from 1 species
UACGGGGGGGGCAAGCGUUGUUCGGAAUUACUGGGCGUAAAGGGCUCGUAGGUGGCCAACUAAGUCAGACGUGAAAUCCCCAGGCUUAACCUGGGAACUGCGUCUGAUACUGGAUGGCUUGAAUUCGGGAGAGGGAUGCAGAAUUCCAGGUGUAGCGGUGAAAUGCGUAGAUAUCGGGAGGAACACCAAUGGCGAAAGCAGGUAACUGGACUAUUACUGACACUCAGCUGCGAAAGCUAGGGGAGCAAACAGG